GCGGGCGGUGACUGUCUCGUCCGUCUCCUUCGCACCGGGGGAGCUACUCAUCGUAACGCUAUUGUAAUAGUAAGAGACUGGAAACGGCAAACAUCCAUCAGCAGGAACUGGUUGAAUAAGCCACACACUGGAGGACUCUGAGGCUGCAAAAGGGAUAAGAAAGAGCUCAUACUACUGCAGAGAGAUGGCUGAGGUGAGAGCCGUCCUGUGAAUAAAGCAAGGUUCCCCAGGGAAAGUGUGGAGACAUAGACUGUCUCCAGGCAGCAGGAGGAAGGUGAUAAAGCAGCAGCCACUUCGUUUUGCUGGCUCAGGGCCAUGGACAUCAAGAAUGGCAGCUGUGCAGCUGUGCCAAACAACUGCUUCGUGGCACCUCUGCAUCCAUCAGGGAGGCCAGGGCUUGGAGAGUGACCAACCACCAGCUGUCUGCAGCUUUGACUCCAUCAAGGUCCUAUCCACCUACCCGAUGGUCCUGCCAUGGCUCUUAAAUCAGAUCAGCUGGGUUAGAACCCUGGCUCCACCACUUACCGUGUGAGGCCAUUCCAAGUACUUCCUCCUCCAGGGAGCUUUUCUGAACUACACUAAUGACUGAAAGAUAUUCAUCCUCCUCUGAUCCCAGAAGAGAAAGUAAUGACUUCCUGCCUUGGAAUAGAGAUGCCUGGGACCCCACUAACCCAAAUCUGAAGAGGCUGCAAAUGCCUAAAAGGCAAAGAAGAGAAGACAUGCACAUCCCCCAGGGU